AAAGAAUGCGGCGGCUUACACAUGCAAGUCGAGGGGUAUGCUUCUUCGGAAGUAGAGACCGGCGCACGGGUGCGUAACGCGUAUGCAUUCUACCUUUUACAGAGGGAUAGCCCAGAGAAAUUUGGAUUAAUACCUCAUAGCAUUGCAAGAUGGCAUCAGGAUUAUAUUAAAGUCACAACGGUAAAAGAUGAGCAUGCCUUCCAUUACCUAUUUGCUAAGGUAACGGCUUACCAAGGCUACGAUGGGUAGGGGUCCUGAGAGGGAGAUCCCCCACACUGGUACUGAGACACGGACCAGACUCCUACGGGAGGCAGCAGUGAGGAAUAUUGGACAAUGGGCGCAAGCCUGAUCCAGCCAUGCCGCGUGCAGGAUGACGGUCCUAUGGAUUGUAAACUGCUUUUAUACGAGAAGAAACACUCCGACGUGUCGGAGCUUGACGGUAUCGUAAGAAUAAGGAUCGGCUAACUCCGUGCCAGCAGCCGCGGUAAUACGGAGGAUCCAAGCGUUAUCCGGAAUCAUUGGGUUUAAAGGGUCCGUAGGCGGUUUAAUAAGUCAGUGGUGAAAGCCCAUCGCUCAACGGUGGAACGGCCAUUGAUACUGUUAGACUUGAAUUAUUAGGAAGUAACUAGAAUAUGUAGUGUAGCGGUGAAAUGCUUAGAGAUUACAUGGAAUACCAAUUGCGAAGGCAGGUUACUACUAAUGGAUUGACGCUGAUGGACGAAAGCGUGGGUAGCGAACAGGAUUAGAUACCCUGGUAGUCCACGCCGUAAACGAUGGAUACUAGCUGUUGGAAGCAAUUUCAGUGGCUAAGCGAAAGUGAUAAGUAUCCCACCUGGGGAGUACGUUCGCAAGAAUGAAACUCAAAGGAAUUGACGGGGGGCCCGCACAAGCGGUGGAGCAUGUGGUUUAAUUCGAUGAUACGCGAGGAACCUUACCAAGGCUUAAAUGUAGUUUGACCGGUUUGGAAACAGAUCUUUCGCAAGGACAAAUUACAAGUGCUGCAUGGGUUGUCGUCAGCUCGUGCCGUGAGUGUCAGGUGAGUACGUAUACGAGCGCAACCCCUGUGUAGUGCAGCGAGUCAUGUCGGGACUCUACAAGACUGCAGUGCAACUGUGAGGAAGGUGGGAUGACGUCCAAUCAUCACGUCCCUUACGCUUGGGCUACCACGUGCUAACAUUGGCCGGUACAGAAGACGCCAUGGCACAGGACCGAAGUCUUAUAACACGGAUCCAAGAUUCGAAUCCGA
rnacentral:rRNA from 1 species